GCCCGUAGCUCAGCUUGGAUAGAGCAGCAGCCUUCUAAGCUGACGGUCGCGGGUUCAAACCAUAUCCUGGCA
rnacentral:tRNA from 1 species